GUGUGAAGGAAGGAAGCUGAUUUCAGUCCACCUCCUUCACUUCCUUUUCUCCUCACUAAGCAACCUAAUGAAGUUUGCCUCACAGAUGGGCAAUAUAAUAUGCUGGAAAGAGGACUAGAUUUGGAGUCAGAGAUCUUGGAUUUGAAUCCUGGUUCUGCAUGACAUUAGACAAGAUAUUUAUCUUCUCUAGACCCUGAAUUCUCCAUCUGUUAAAUGAAAGAAUUGGACUAAGAAACUUCUAUCUCCAAAUUCUAUGAUUCUAUGAUGAUACUGAAAAACCCAUUAAAGGAAUCAGAAAAGAAAAUGGAGAAGGAGCUAUUAGAGAAAGAGGACAAAAGCAAGUGACAGCAGGGUCACACAAUCAGAAGAGGAGGGACACUUAAAAAGAAUAUUCAGAGAUAUUCAGAAGUGUCAGAAUAUACAGACAUCAAGGAGAAUGGAUUAAAAUUAUAAUAAUGGUUUUCCAUA